AACGUAGGAGGCAAGCGUUAUCCGGAGUUACUGGGCGUAAAGGGUGUGUAGGCGGUUGUUUAAGUUUGGUGUGAAAUCUCCCGGCUCAACUGGGAGGUGCGCCGAAUACUGAAUGACUUGGAGUGCGGGAGAGGAAAGUGGAAUUCCUGGUGUAGCGGUGAAAUGCGUAGAUAUCAGGAGGAACACCGGUGGUGUAGACGGCUUUCUGGACCGUAACUGACGCUGAGACACGAAAGCGUGGGUAGCAAACAGG
rnacentral:rRNA from 1 species